rnacentral:rRNA from 1 species
CCUACGGGAGGCAGCAGUGAGGAAUAUUUGUCAAUGGCCGUACGGCUGAACCAGCCAAGUCGCGUGAAGGAAGAAGGAUCUAUGGUUUGUAAACUUCUUUUAUAGGGGAAUAAAGGUAUCCACGUGUGGAUAUUUGCAUGUACCCUAUGAAUAAGCAUCGGCUAACUCCGUGCCAGCAGCCGCGGUAAUACGGAGGAUGCGAGCGUUAUCCGGAUUUAUUGGGUUUAAAGGGUGCGUAGGUGGUUUUUUAAGUCAGCGGUGAAAGUUUGUGGCUCAACCAUAAAAUUGCCGUUGAAACUGGAAGACGUGAGUGUGUUUGAGGUAGGCGGAAUGCGUGGUGUAGCGGUGAAAUGCAUAGAUAUCACGCAGAACUCCGAUUGCGAAGGCAGCUUACUAAGCCAUAACUGACACUGAAGCACGAAAGCGUGGGGAUCAAACAGGAUUAGAUACCCCUGUAGUC